CAGCACAUGAAGCCCUACAGAUGCCGCCGAUUCAAUGCUGAUUAUGAUGGGCGGUGAAUUUAACCUUUGCCUUAUUAGGUCCUCCACAGUCGCCCCAUCAGUCCCUGGCAGUCUGGUCCCUGGAGCAGCUGGCCCUGGCAAAGUUAUUCCUUCACUGUUGACCCCUGACUGACUGGCCCUCAGCACACACAUCCCUGGAUCACCUGCCCCUGAAUCACCUGCCCCUGGCAAUGUAACCUCUUGAUUGCUCUCUCCGUCUCCUGUGAUGUCCUUUUCAACGCUCUUGAAAUCCACCUAAAUUUCUCCCUCAAUCUCUGUAAUAAUUACAAGGUAAUGUUUCUGUUAUAUGUAUUUUGCCUUUGCAUUUGCAACUACUGUCAUCUCCAAUGUAAUAAAAUGAAUUAAAGCAAAACAUUUCUGUAAUGUGAAUUAAAUCAUCUGCCACAAUCAGAAACCAAUACAAUUUAUAAAUGGAUCUACCGGCAAUUGUUAAUUGGGUAGAAAUGUGUCGAUUAUCUACAUUGUGUGCAAAUCCUCAGAGAA